rnacentral:lncRNA from 1 species
UCACAUCUCUCUCGAUAAUACGGACUCAGACACGUCCGCUCUGGUAAAUUGGCUUAACCCGUUAAUUUUUCAGCAUUAGCGCGUCAUCGUGUGGGGUGACAAUAGGUUGGGGGUUGUCAUUGCUUGGCAACCAUUGCUUGUGCUAGAAUUAGGGUUAUGUGCUCUUAAUUGAUCCUUUUGAUUGAGUAUUUGUUUUUGGGUUUAAAAUCA